GGGAAGAUUGGGAGAAAGAAGGUGCGCAGUGAAAGAGCUGGGAGGACAAGCAUGGUCAGAGAUAUAAAUGAGUACACAGUAUGUGGCAGUGGAAAAUCAGGUCCAUGAUAUCUGGAGGAUUAUUUAAUUAAGUGCAUGUGACAAGAAACAGAAGCUUUAAACCACAGGGAAGGGGAAAUUCUCAGCUUCCUAAUGGGAAACAGCACUCACUCGUGGACCUGUGGUGCCAUGGCGUAUCAGGCUAUAAAGGUGACAUUUUUAGGUGAAUUGACCCAUUCAUUCCUCUGGGGGAAAAGGCAGGGCCAGGAAGAGUGGAAAUGAAGGAGAAGAACUUGCCCUGGACAGAGCAGCAAUGGCUUGUGUCUUAUUCCCAGAACUAUACGCAUCUCGGGAUAUCCACAGUUUUUGGUGGACCAACUCUUUCAUCUUCCUUCUCUGGAAGAAGCAAGGUGGAGAACCUCAGCUCUGAUGGAAAAAUUUGGAGGAAACUUCUUGAGAUUCCCUGAUUGGACUCCUAUACUGCUGUUAAGUUUUUCCUGCAGAUUUUCCUGAUUGGCUUAAAGUUACUCAAAUACUGUGAUGACGGGUGACCUUAGAAAAACCUAGCUAGGUUGAUCUUGGCCUAAGUUUCAAAAAAUUAGGAGGAACAGCCCUGAGAGCUGUGUGUUUACAUGAGUCCAUAGGACUCUUCCAUAGUUUUUUCAGCUCUUUAGUGAUUUUAUUAACAAAACUUUUUAAUGAACACACCAUCAUUCUGUUCAGGGGAGUUAUACCUGGUAUGAAUUUGGCUCUUGUUUCUUUUUUCUAACAGAUUAAAACUAAACAACAACAUGCAAUAGAUGGAAAGUUUGGUAGGUCGUGAGGGUUGACAGUAUACAAGAAGAGGACUAGGGUGAGGAUUAUUUCUGCAGUCUGAUCAAAUAAUUACAUAGCAGUAUUUGUAUGUACCAUCAAUGCAUGUUCAUGUGAUGAAAUAUUAAAGCUUUGUUUUGGUACAAUUCUGCACUGGGUGUUUUUACAUCUACAUGUGUAAAGAAGGGUAGCUACACAAUAGGAGAGCCCCCAGGGAAUGGUUUCCUGCAUAGAGGAUUGACUUUUUUUUUUUUAAAUGGC